UGCUGCUUCGCUGACGAGUGGCGGACGGGUGAGUAAUGUCUGGGAAACUGCCUGAUGGAGGGGGAUAACUACUGGAAACGGUAGCUAAUACCGCAUAACGUCGCAAGACCAAAGAGGGGGACCUUCGGGCCUCUUGCCAUCAGAUGUGCCCAGAUGGGAUUAGCUUGUUGGUGGGGUAACGGCUCACCAAGGCGGCGAUCCCUAGCUGGUCUGAGAGGAUGACCAGCCACACUGGAACUGAGACACGGUCCAGACUCCUACGGGAGGCAGCAGUGGGGAAUAUUGCACAAUGGGCGCAAGCCUGAUGCAGCCAUGCCGCGUGUAUGAAGAAGGCCUUCGGGUUGUAAAGUACUUUCAGCGGGGAGGAAGGUGCUGUGGUUAAUAACCGCAGCAAUUGACGUUACCCGCAGAAGAAGCACCGGCUAACUCCGUGCCAGCAGCCGCGGUAAUACGGAGGGUGCAAGCGUUAAUCGGAAUUACUGGGCGUAAAGCGCACGCAGGCGGUCUGUUAAGUCAGAUGUGAAAUCCCCGGGCUCAACCUGGGAACUGCAUCUGAUACUGGCAGGCUUGAGUCUCGUAGAGGGGGGUAGAAUUCCAGGUGUAGCGGUGAAAUGCGUAGAGAUCUGGAGGAAUACCGGUGGCGAAGGCGGCCUCCUGGACGAAGACUGACGCUCAGGUGCGAAAGC
rnacentral:rRNA from 1 species